rnacentral:lncRNA from 1 species
AAACCUAACUACAUAUAUGUCAACACCAAAAAACCAUGGCAGCACCUUGUUGUUAAAUAAAGUUGUAUAGCCACAAAUGACAUUUGCUUUACUUCAAGUUUUGAUUGAUAUAAAACACAAUUAGCACAUAGUUGCUGAAAUUUAUCAUCAAUAAGCUUCUUUAACUAGUGUCAUUUAUUAACAUCAAGAACACAUCAACUAUAUGCAAUGAUUCAGAAGCUAUAAGCAUUAAUGAAUUAUACUAACCUUAGAUAUUGGUGUGGCUAAAAUUUCAAAGAAACUAUGAACUAAAUUAUACUAAAAAUAAGAAAAAAUAAUGUUUCAAAUCGAUCUAUGAUUUUUUGCAAGGACCACAAAACAGUGUUAUGUUACAUUAUCGUAUGAUCAAGAGUAUGUUGUUCCGUCAAACAUUAACCUUUCCCAUGAAAAGUAUGGUUAAAUCAACACAAGAACAGAAGAAGAAAAAGAAAAAAUGAGACAAGGAAUAUAAACCUGAUUAAAGCAAAGAGCAAAGUGAGCAAUUUCAACAACCUUGUCAAUAUCAGCUUCCUCAAAGACAAUGAAAGGCGAUUUCCCUCCAAGUUCUAAUGUCAUCGGCUUAAGAUUGCUUCUUGCAGCCAGUUGAAGUAUAGUUUUUCCAAUGUCCGUCAAUCUAGUGAAGUAUCAUCCAAAAGCUGAUACCAAAACUCGUAAACUCGCACAUCAUCCAAAACUCGCACAAGAAAGGGCUACAAAAGGUACUGCAUAUAGACGGAAAUCAAACAAUAGAAUAAAACUCCUUCCCCCACCUGUUACAAACAGAACAACAGAAGAAAAAAUCCACCUGCCAGCACAACCAAACAACCGCGCAUAGCAGCAUCCAAACAGCAGCGCAGCCGGAAACAGAAAACAACAAAAAAUAGAAAAACUAAAAACCUCCCAACAACACCUAAAAUUUGCAACAGCACCAACAGAAGGCUGUCAUGACCUAACAGAGACUUUCAUGAAAUUUAGAUAUUAUGACCUAACAGAGACUUUCAUGAAAUUUAGACCAAUCAUGCUGUCAAACAUGAUGCAUUUUGAUAGUAUGGCCAGUAAUGCAUAACUGAUUGGAAUUAGCAAUUCUGAAACAAUAAAUCCUAGCUUAUCAUAAACAAUUGUAAAACAAGCAAUUCUCAAACUUAAAGCAAUUCUGAAACAAGCAAUUCUAGCUUAUCAUAAACAAAUAAAAAAACAAGCAAUUCUCAAACCUAAAGCAAUUCUGAAACUUAAAGCAAUUUUCUAAAGCAAAUUAUGAACAAUUCUGCAACGUUCAUAAACAAGCCAAGUUCAUUAAGCCUAAAACAAUUUUCCAAUUUUCCAAUUAGAGUGGGUGAGAACUGAGAGAUAGUGACGACUAGAUUUGAAGAAGGGAGUGGAAGAGAGAUUGGUUAGAAUUUCAAAAACGAGCGGUGGAGAGAAGAAGAGAGAUGAGAACUGCUUCUGAUAGAGAGACGCGAAGAGUGAAAGAGAGAAGUGAGAGAAGAGGCCAGACGAGAGAGAGGAAGAAGGGAUGGAUUAUUGGCGGAUUUCUUAUUUUGUUAAAAUAUUAGUGACAUUAUUGGAGGAUACAAUCUGCCACUAAUUCAAUCCAGACUUGUCAUUAACAUUAUUGACGGAUUUUUUCUAUCGGUAAUAUUAAAAUAAUGAUAAUUAUUUUUCUGGGUGUAACUUUUUGAAUUAUUGAGGGUUUAUUUCGCAGUAAAAUGUUAUUGAGGGUUUUUUUUUUUGCAUCAGUGAGGGUUUAGAUCGCCAAUAAUUAAUGAGGGUUCAAACCCGUCAGUAAUGCAAUUUUCAAUUGGUUACUAAUUUGAUGAAUUCUUGUAGUGUCCACGGUUCAGCGCUUUGAUAUAGGAGAGCAUGAUUUGCAAUUCAACUGUUUCCAUGAGUUCAGGAAGUGGUGUUAUUCAUUUCAAUCCCACAUCAUUUCGUAGUUUGAAAGUGGUGUUAUUUUAUAUGCUAUGUGUCCUCUACUUCCUUUGGAUCUUCAAUUUUUUACCAUCAUACAAACUGAUGCUUUUUAUUUGAUAAUUGGGAGUCGGUGAGUGUCGAGUAUACAAGCUAUGCAACUUUUUUUUGCCUAAUAUCACAAUUAUUAUUAUGAAUUAAUCAAACAUGCUUUGUGUUUCAUAUUGCUCCAUUCAAAACUCAUUUGGAUAGAAAUCAAUGUAAUGAUGUAAUGUAAUUGGUCUAUUUGGGUAACAGAACUUGAAUUAAUCAAACAUGCAAGUUUAUUGAACGUUUGUUGAAGAUUUCUUCAUGCAUAACAUCACUACCACAAUUUUGAGUUUUAAUAGCGCCCAUUUAAUAGAACUUCUUUAAAAAAUGCUAUUAAAAAUUCAAACAGAGGUUAACAAAAGCACUUUUUCGUUGGCAGCUAUUAUGGGGCAUCCCCUAUAAUAUCGUUUUAUGAGUAACGCUAUUUUAAUGUACCAGCGAAAUAUUCUAAUAGCGUUUGUUGGCUAAAUGCUAUCAUAGAUGAAUACUGCUUUGUUAGCACUCUUUGAAGAAACGCUAUUUUAAAGGCUAUAAAUAUGCGGGUUUUUUUUAAAAUAAAAAGAUGCGCAACAUAUAUUUUUUAUUUCGCUCUCAAUCUCACUCCCCCAUAACUCCACACAAUUUUCCAUUUUGUAACUCACUCACGCACUCAAAGUUCUUCUUCCAACCCACUAACUCACUCACCUGAAGCCUUCUUCCAUCGUACCAUACUCACUCACAAAAUCACCAUCGUAGACAGAACACCUAAAAGCUAAACCGAUUGAACCCUACAAACAUAAUUAAGGGUUUCUGAAACAAAAGGGCUCCUUUGUGCGCGUUCAUCUUCAAGCUUUACUCUCUGGAAAAUUUUGGGUAAUCACCGUACUUUACUUCCUUUGUCGUUGGCUUAAUCGUUAUUAUCUAAUUCUCUUAUUAUAAUACCUAAUUUGGAGAAAAACAUGAAAACUAGGAAGUGGAUUUGUAAAUUGAAAUGGAAAGAUAAUCUGAAAAACCCUUUGUUCCAAAUUUCGUGUUGUCUCAUAGUUAGGUUUUUCCCUCUUUUGAAUUCUGAGGAUAAGAUUUAGGUCAUUUGAUUUUACUAAAUUCUUUCCAUCUUUUGAACUUAGAAGAAAUGUGAUUUUUCUGAAAUUAUUUUAAGUUGUGUAUUGCUAAAUAUUCUAAAGAGUGGCGUUCUGAUUAUCUUAUCAAUACAAUUGUGAAGGUUGUAGUGUUUUAACAUUGUACCAAAUGGAUAUUGGGAUGCCUUGAAACUCUAAUGUAUACAUGAAUUGAUAAUUGUGUGUACAUGUCAUUUAAAAUGAUUUGAUUUAAUGUAUUAAUCGAAUUCUAUGUGAGGCUAGUGGUGAACACAAUCAUUGAGAAAAAGGUAAAUAUUUUUCCUUUCCUUCCACGUUUCGGUAGUGUAGUUGUGGCUGCUUGGAAUUGGUCUUCAGUUUGUGCAUCUGGUGUGUUCUGCUAACGUUGCAGGGAUGUUUGGAGUGAAACAACAUGCAGAAUUCUGCAGUAGUGGAUCAGAUUUGUGUUGUUUUGUUGUCUCUGUUCUGUUUUAGGGUGGGAGUGAUCUAGCAUUGCUUGUGGUGUUUCAUCAUUUGGAGUCAAUUGGGGGUUCACUUGUGUCGAUUUUCUGAUCUGCCAGUAGUGUUGGUUCGAGGGCGGCGAAUUCGGAUUAUGUUACCUCUUCAUAAUCUACUUCAAUAUGUACAAUAAAUUGGUACUUAUCACUCCCUUUACUCCUAUUCUUUUCAUAAGAUCCAUUUCUUAAUGUUAUUUUGUGUAAUUAUUGUUUUGUUUAUUUUAUUUUAUUAUUUUAUGAUGCUUGUUUGCAUUGUGAAACAUUGUAUGCAGCAGUGAUGAAAAUUUUGAAUAGGAGCAUUUAGGGUUUUGAACUUGGUGUGAUUUUCGUUGUAGGUUUUGAAGGUUUGUCUUUUCCUUGUGACUGUGAUUGUAGUUGAAUUUGCUAUUGGAACUAUUCUUGUAACCUUUGUGUGGGUUUUGUAAGGGAGCUAAAUCUAUUAUUAGUUAUGUUUUUAUUAAUAAUCAAGUUGAUUGUGUGUGCUUGUGUGUGUGUUAUUUGUUUGCAUCUUGCAGCGAUAUCACCACUCGCUGUCGUGCAUACUUUGGAGACCAAUAUUAGUCCUAAAUACAAUUGUUUUUUCUUUACUCCGACACUCCUUACACCGGUGUCCGACACCUAUAUAACACUCAUACGAGACAUAUCAGACAACUGAGACAUUUUUCUGAAACAUUUUUUCUCUCUCUUGCUUCCACACAACAUAGAUACAAAAGUUAAAUAUAUGUUGAUAAAUGUUCUAUAAUUAAGUCCUUGAAAUACCCAUUGUCUCAUUUCAGAUGACUUGGAGAUGACACUAUUUCUGUAGUAAUUUUAGUUACAAAGAUCUUCAAAAAGUAAGUUUCAUACUCUUUCAUUUUUAAGGAUUUAAGCGUUUACACUGACAUUAUUUUGUACUUCUUAGAAGCUUAUUUUGGAUUUAAAUUUUGGUUUCUAAUAUUGAUUUGAGAGAUCUGGUUUUUUUUAAAUUAUACUUAGUUCAUAUUAAAAACUAAAACACAUUGCUUACAACAUUUUCGGUCUGUAACAACGGCUGAAAAGCGUUGCCUGAUUCGUUAAAAGCGUUGCCAUAUCUUACGACAAUGCUUUUUCAGCGUUGUAGUCUAAGGCGUUGCCUUUUCUUCUAACAAAGGUAUUAUUGUAUAUAGGUAAUUGCAACAGAUAAAGGCCGUUGCCAUAGCCGUUAAAGAGAAAAGAUAUAACCGUUGCCAUUGAUUCUAGAAAGUAAAAUUAACUGUUGUUGUUAGCAACACUCUAAAUUCUAUGCUAUUAAUGAGAACAACUAAAAAAGUUGCCAUUGAGUUUUGAGAACAAUUUAAUACUAUAUUACUUAACAGUUAACAUGAAUCAAAUAUUUAUACGUAAAAUGAACCAAAUUAAAUAUCAAACUAAAAUCAAUCGGUUUCAUAAUGUAUAUCAACAAUUUGGCAUUUCCUUUAAUGUAUUACAUCAAAGAAACUAGGAAUUACUUUUAUUAAGCAAACACCAUUAAAUAAGCUCUAUAUAACUAAUAAUGUUGAUCCAAUAUAAAAUAUGAGUACUUAGACCUUAGUAUCAUACACCAAUCAAUUCAAAUCACAUUCCCUUUACUUUGAUGUACACAUAACCAAGUAUCCAUCUUCAAGUUUUCAUCUUCAAGUCUGCAUAUUAGCUUUUAAUCUUAACCUACAAGAAAUAAAAAGAAUCAUCUAAUGACAGAGUUAAUCAAGAAAAUAAAAUAAAUAAAAUCUAUGUGAUGAAAGAAACUAACCAUCAGGAAAAUAAAUAAAGAAGGAAUAUCUAAUUAUCAUGAUAUAUAUGUCAUAUCUAAUUAUCUAACAAGUAAAUUGAUGAAGGGACAAAACCACUUAGCUUAACUUAGAGACUAUAGUUUAUCUUCUAAUAAUUACUUAUAAUAAGACCAUAUUCUGAUAGCUAUACUAAUGGUAUAUUAGCCAUUGAAUAUUUCAACUUUUCUAGAGUAACCAAACUAAUCAAAUGCACCAGCACGGGAAACUUAAUAAACACGACAUAAUGAACAAACCUGAUUCGCUAGAGAUGCGGAGUCGAUCCAAAUGUUUAGUGAAGAAUCUGCAGAGAAAUCUGAAGCGUAAGAGAUUCCACGAGAAAGUUCAAAGUUAGUUUAGAAUUCUCAUUUUCAUUUAGCCAAACUUAAAUAUCACAAUGCUUAUUCUCAUAUCAUAGCAUGGUGUACUAAUCAAGAAAAAAGGUAGAAAAAGGAAAAAAAAUCAUUCAACUUAAAAUCAAAUCAGAAUCAACUUAACCUAGAAAAUGACAAUUGCUUAAGAAAAGUUAAGAAUCAACUUAAAUUUAUUAGCAAUAAAAUAACAACAUCAACAAUGAGGUUAAAAUUAUUACAACUACUUCAGAGCAAAGGUUUCUUGACCAAAACAUAUGUACAAAAGUAACACACAUCUACUACAAACAUCCAGCAAUACUAGCCUAAACCGACCCUCACAUACCACUCCAGCACCAAAGGACCUCCAAUAUCUCCUCCAACAAGAACUGAUACACCAAUCAACACUUGAAGAUGAUGAAACAACUAAAAAUCAACAAGAAAAGUUAAUAAACAACUUAAAAUCAAAUCAAAUGUAUCUAAAUUAACCUAUAAAUAUCAAAAUUAAGAAUCAACUUAAAAUUAGUAAGCAAAAUUAAGAAUUAAAUUAACAUCAAAGCAGAAAAUCAAAUCCCUAUAUAGAGAUACGGCAAAAUAGAUACGGAAAAACAAUCCGACCAAGAACCAAUCAGCCCCUAAACAAAUAAACACCUGACAAUCCAACCAAUUUAUAAUCUCAUAUACUUAAAAUGAUACUAUCUCCAACUAACCAACUUGUAGUAGAAAACUAGUUAAAGUAUAAGGACUGGCAAACAUUGAAGAGAUUUCGAAAUAAAGAACAAAUAACUUGCCUUUUCAUGCUUAAUUGUGUGAGUUAGCAGAAGAAUAACUUGACCCCCAAAACCUGCUCCAAUUUUCCUAAAAUAUUAAACGUUACAUCAAUCACCCAUAAUUAAAAAAAAAAAAAAAAAAAAAAAAAACAGAAAUGGAAGAAGUUGAAGCAUAAAAACACCUACAUUUUUCGAUUGAUGUUGAAUCGAUCGAGGAAGUGAAACUCCAUGAAUCAAAUAUGUGCUCUAUCAGUGAAGAAGAUGGUGAAACAGCUCAAAAUCAGCAAGACAAGUUAAUAAGGAAAAGGAACUGCAUACCGCAAAAUAGAAUCAACAUAGCAUUAAAUCAGAAAAUCAAAUCCCUAAACAAAGAGAUAAGACAAAAUAGAUACGGAAAAAGAACUACAUACCACAGAUUCACGAGAAACUAUAAAUCAAUACAAACAUAUAAAAAAGUUACAAAGCACACCCUUAUCGUAGAAAGAGAACUAGAAUGAAGAAAAUCUGAAACAUAUCAUAUACACAUAGAUUAAAGAAUAAAGACUAUAUUCCGUUGUGAGACUUUUUAGUUGUGGCUUAGACAUUUGAUUGUUAGAUACUACAAUACUUUAGUUGUGAGACUAUUAUUGAAAAGGGAAAAUAAAAAAUAUAAACACAAUUAAAAAUGUGUUACUUCAAUCAUCCACAACAAAACAAACAAAAAAUCUUGAAGUUAAGUUCGGUCUAGGUGCCUAACUUAAACACCACAAUUCUCACUUCAUAUCAUUUUAUACUAAUCAAUUAUGAUGGCUUUUGGAUCUCUCUUUGGACUGCCACUAGCAAAGCCAUGUCAAACAUGUGUAGCUAACAAAAAGAUUUGAAAGAAAAAAGGUAAAUAAUAAUAACAAUCAUUCAACUCAAUAUCUUCAAGGUUCGAAUCACAGGAUUAUAAGGGUAACAUCGUCAAUGCCACCACAAUCUAACAUGGACCAUCCAUAAUUUCUACGUCGACAUAGCUUCAUCCAAGCCCCUCUAGAAAAUGAAGUAAAUUAGAUUGUGGUAAGUAGUUAAAUUAUAUAUUUAUGGAUAAUAGAACAUACUAUGUUAGAUAAUUCGUAAAUGAUCAAGAAACCUCAAAAUAUAAAAACUGAUGCAAUUUCUGAAAGAGAAACGACACAUAUACAACAUUACAGAGAAGUGAAGAGAGAACCAUACCUAAGUAGCUUCAACAUCAGCAAAGUCCUACGGCCGCUUUCCAUUGAAUUUCAUUCCUUAGAUAAUUUCUUUCGACAAAACAACCACCUGAUGCAAUGUAAAUCAACAUUCUAGAAAGUUAUUUGAUCUGUAAUUAGAUUGCUCGUACCCAAACUAUAAGAGUGAAGUGGACUACAAGAUUACUACUAAAUCAUGCUUACUUUAACAUAUGUACUUAAGAAUUUAAGGUACUUAUUAAAAAAAAUUCCAGAUUUGAAUUGUUUGUGCUUCAUUAAUAAUAAAUAACUAUGAGAAACUUACCAAAUCACAGUUCUAAACAAAUAGAAACCUCCAUAUGACCGUUGUCUGGGUCAAAAUUGUACCUUCUGUAAUUUAGGGAUUGCAGCGAGAACACUCUGAAGUGCAGCCACAAACUCUUAUUCUAAAGACGAGCAUAUUCACGAGUCGUCUUUUCACACUCCUCUGGAGAGUCGGAGCGUCGUGGACAGAGAAAUCUGAAGAAAAAUCAAAGUCAGUUCAGAACUUUCAUUUUCAUCCAGCCAAACAUAAAUAUGACAAUUCUUAUUCUCAUUUCAUAUCAUAAUCUACUAAUCAACAAAAAAAGCAGAGAAAGGAAGAAAAUUUCAAUUGCAUCAAAUCACAAGAGUAUAAUUUCAAUUUCAAUUGCAACAAAAAAAGGAGAGAAAUAAGGUUGCAUCAAUAAAUUAGAAACUAAUAAAUCUUAGUGUCAACUUAAAACCAAUAAGCCAAACAUAAACAUCAGAAAAUGAAGAAAUUGUUAAUUUCAUCAAAUUAGAUCAACUUAAAACCAAAUCAGAAUCAAUCUAAAAAUGUCAAUUGCUUAAGCAAAGUUAAGAAUCAACUUAAAAGUUAAAAUCAAAUUAGAAAUAUCAAUUGCAUCAAGUCGGAAUUAACCUAGGCUUAUCAAAUGAUAAUCAGAUUUAGUUUCAAAUCAGCUUAACUUAACAUCACAAUAAAUCUAGAAAUAUCAAAUCAGAACUAACCUAAAAAUUUCAAAGUUAAGAAUCAACUAAAAAUCAGUAUGAAAAUUGAAGAAUCAACUUAGCAUCAAAUAAGAAAAUUAAAACCCUAAACAUUGUAGCUAUUGCAAAAUAGAUACCCAAAGGAACUACAUACCACAUAUAUGAACGAUUCGCGAGAGAUGGAUACAGGAGAUUGAGAUUCACAAAUUCGUGUGGAGAAAUCAAUAGAGAUACAAAUUCCAUCUCAAAGCCAUUUGAAUGGAAUUCAAUUGUGAUGAAGAAUUUGAUAAGUACGAUGGUAAUGAAAAACGUUUAUGAUGAAGAUGUGAGGGUGAAAGCGGUGGAAUGAUUCUGACGAAUAAGCGAUUUUGAUUAAGCGAUUUUGAUGGAGCGAUACUGAUUAAGCGGUUAUGUGAGUGUGAAGUGAAAAAUAGAUCUGAAAUAAAAAGAUGAAAAGUAUAAAAUAAAAGAAUUAAAAAGUGAAAAUAAUAUAAUUAAGUAGUAUUAAAAAUAAAACAUUUUUCUGAUUAUUAGAGAAAACAACUAACACUACACCAAUUAAAAUUUGUUGUCUUAGCCAUAUUACAUAACGGUUUUUUCUUGGUCUUUAAAAGUGGCAUUGCAGUAGAUCAUAAUUGUUGUAGUGUUAAGAUCCUUGAUUGAUUAAUUCAUUGAUUCAAACUUGUCAAAUUUAAGGACAGAAUACCUAGAUCCUUGAUUCAUAUUCAUAGUUAUCAAGUUUUUUACCUUAUGAAUGUACAACUUAUUCCACUAAAAGAUAUGUUCACAUUGCAACAUAUCUUUUUUUUUCUUCUCUUUUCAUUGUAAGUUGUUUUACUUAAUUGAACCCAUGUCCGACAGGAAGGAUAGAAAUUUUCUAUGGGGAAUGGAAUGUUCUACAUGGUACUAACUUCUAAAACUGUAGAGAAAAUAUGGUGAAUGUCUUUAAAACACCUUGGAGCCUAGAUUACAUUCACAAAACCUUAUACCUUCUAAAUUAUACUUAGUUCAUCAACUGUGAUUUCUGCAACUGCUAAUUUUUACUGCUUGUUUUGUCUAUGUGAACAUUGUCAUUACUCUUAAAGUAAUGAUAUGAUUUGUGAUUGUUCUUUGCAACUCAAAGUUGAUAAGAUUAAGCUAAUUGAAGUAUUUGGUACAUAUGAAUCUUAAUUUUCAAGUGUAAUUGUUGUGUAUGUACAAUAAAUCUCCAAUGUACAAUGGGUUUAUUAGGUUUGUGAGUGCUAUUAAUGAAAUGUGACUGAUGUAAUUUUGCUUUUAUGAUGAGGGAUGUCAUUUCCAUACUUGUAAUUGGAAUUUGAGUUGUAUUUUGUUUUU